CAGUCCUACGGGACGCCGCAGUGAGGAAUAUUGGUCAAUGGUCGGGAGACUGAACCAGCCAAGCCGCGUGAGGGAUGAAGGUACAGAGUAUCGUAAACCUCUUUUGUCAGGGAACAAAGGCGGGGACGUGUCCCCGGCUGAGUGUACCUGAAGAAAAAGCAUCGGCUAACUCCGUGCCAGCAGCCGCGGUAAUACGGAGGAUGCGAGCGUUAUCCGGAUUUAUUUGGUUUAACGGUUGCGCAGGCGGUCGCUUAAGUCCGCGGUCAA
rnacentral:rRNA from 1 species